AGACAGGCAUGUUUCUCCAUACACAGGCAGAAAGAUGCCAUUAACUAGGAAUUUCUGUAAGUGGCUUGAUCGCACUGUGGCUCUGUGAUCCAUCUGAAGAAACACGCGGGAUGGCUUACCACCCUGACUGCUCUUCUGGAAAGGAGGCCAGCAGCUGAGCAGCAGUCAGCACGGAGGUACCCAUCAUGGAGCCACAGCCUGGCACGAAUUGAUGUCUGGAUCCAGGCAGGGUCACCAAAGGCAGGAGAAGAAUCCAACCAUCAUGCUGUGAAAAGCCCAACGUAACCACAUGGAGAGGCCACAUGGAAAGGAACUGAAGCUGUGGUCAACAGCAGCAGUUGAGUUCCCAGUCAACAGCCAGCUCCAACUUUCUAGUCAUGUGAGUGAGCCAUCUUGGAAGUGCAUCUUGCAACCUCAGUCAAGCCAUGUUAGCUGGCAUCAUGAAGAGCAAACAUGAACCAUCCUUGCUGAGCCCUGCCCAAACUGCAGAAUUCUGAGCAAAUAAAUGUUGUUCUUUU
rnacentral:lncRNA from 10 species